rnacentral:rRNA from 1 species
CCUACGGGAGGCAGCAGUGAGGCAUAUUGGUCAAUGGAUGAGAGUCUGAACCAGCCAAGUAGCGUGAAGGAUGACUGCCCUAUGGGUUGUAAACUUCUUUUAUAUGGGAAUAAAAUGUUCCACGUGUGGGAUUUUGUAUGUACCAUAUGAAUAAGGAUCGGCUAACUCCGUGCCAGCAGCCGCGGUAAUACGGAGGAUCCGAGCGUUAUCCGGAUUUAUUGGGUUUAAAGGGUGCGCAGGCGGAGGUGCAAGUCAGCGGUCAAAUUGCGGGGCUCAACCCCGUACUGCCGUUGACACUGCAUCCCUUGAGUGCGCGAGAAGUAUGCGGAAUGCGUGGUGGAGCGGUGAAAUGCAUAGAUAUCACGCAGAACUCCGAUUGCGAAGGCAGCAUACCGGCGCGCAACUGACGCUGAGGCACGAAGGCCAGGGGAGCGAAAGGGAUUAGAUACCCGUGUAGUC